CGGGGCGUAGCUCAGCUUGGCUAGAGCGCCCGCUUUGGGAGCGGGAGGUCGCAGGUUCGAAUCCUGUCGCCCCGACGAGGA
rnacentral:tRNA from 1 species